rnacentral:rRNA from 1 species
UACGGGGGGGGGCAAGCGUUGUUCGGAAUUACUGGGCGUAAAGGGCUCGUAGGCGGCCAACUAAGUCAGACGUGAAAUCCCUCGGCUUAACCGGGGAACUGCGUCUGAUACUGGAUGGCUUGAGUGUGGGAGAGGGAUGCGGAAUUCCAGGUGUAGCGGUGAAAUGCGUAGAUAUCUGGAGGAACACCGGUGGCGAAGGCGGCAUCCUGGACCAUUACUGACGCUGAGUGAGCGAAAGCCAGGGGAGCAAACGGG